CCGAAGCGGCCGCAUCCCCGAGCGCCGCGCUCGGGCGUUUCCGGGCGUUUCCGGCCGGGCCCUUCGGCAGGUUCCGCGGCGGCCGGGACAUGGCUGCCGGCCGGCAGGGGGAGCGGAGCAUCCGGCGCGGCCUGGCGGGCGCCGCGGCCUGAGCUGGGAGCCGAAACUACACACGAAGAGUACCUUUGAGUGCGUCAGGAAGGAGGGAGCCUCGGCUUGAGCGUGGCCCCAGGGGCCAGUGGCCGCUUGCCCUUGAACUGUGGAGAGUAACUAUGCCGUGUGGCUGGUGGGCCCGGCCCGGGAGCGGGGGCGAUGGCUGCUGACGGCGUUGGCCGAAUUGCAGUGUCCCCCUCCC